GUGGGGCAGGGACUCGCCUUGCACGUCAGCAGCACUUGGCAGUCCUCGGUGACCUUCCACUGCAAAGGUUCCUGGAAGUAGGGACCUGUGGGUCCAAAACAAACACACCCACCCGUCAGCGCCCCAAACUGAGGCGGGCGCCACCUGGUGGCCACACGGGGGAAGCCAGCCUGGAGGAGGCUGCAAAGGACCGCUGGGCUUAAAGAUCCAGAUGCGGGGGUCUGGGGUAGUUCAAAUGCUGGUUUGAUCUGGUACCGGGAGAGAGGUGGACUGAAUCGCAGUGGGCCUCUCUGGGGUGGGGGUAGGGUCCUCGUAACCCCAGGUCUGCCGUUCUGCAGUACAGCGGCCAGCCAAGGCCUUUGACCUCCGACCUCCGACCUCCGUCCCGCAGCUCUUACCCUGUUUUCUCUUCCAGUCUUUUCUCUUGGCAUCCGCCUUCCUCAGAAGCUGGUCGAAAUCUGUGAACACAGUGGGAGGGGCUGGUACCAUCUGAGAAGAGUGCUGGUGCCCAGGGGGACAUCAGGUGGCCAGGAGACAGAGUCUCCAUCUGUCUCUGUCUGUCUGUCUUUCCUUUCUCCCGGGAAUUGAACCCAGGGUCUUCCUCAUUCCAAAUACAUUCUCUACCGCUGAGCUACACCCCUAGUGCCAACCCAUGUUCUCUGAUGGCCGAUUUGCCGCCUGGAGAUGAAACCACACACCACGUGAGGCUGCGCCCUGAGCUUGAAUCUCUCACAAGAUUGGCAAUCGCCGUGUUUGCAAAUCAGAGCAAUUGAGGGCCAGCAACCUAGCUAACAAAACCUGCCUGCUUAACGAAGGUAAAUAAAAACUGAACAUAAAAUAAUCCUCUUCCCGUAACAGGAGGAAUUAAAAAUCAUUUCAAUGAUUUUACAAUGUAGAUGUUUGGACAAAAUCUCACUCAUGCCACACUGGUUUAAUGAGCUGUUUUGAAUAUAAGAAAAGCAAAAAGACUGGAACUAAAUCUGUUCAAGAACAGAACAAGGAGUGAACGAGCACAGGAAAGGCGGCUGAGGGGAUUGAAGCUCUCUACUGAAAGUACAUUAGGCUCGUGAGAGAGCUCUUUGUAUUUGUGCCUAAAACAGGGCGAGGGCCUCGGUGUGGAUACCGAUGGGCCCGCGUGCAAGCUGUGCACUGGAAGAAUGUCUGCUGGGGUGGCCCAGGACAGCCACACAGUCUGUGUGGCCAUCUCUGAAAUGCCUGCUCUGGGGAGAACCGAGGCCAGGACAGGCCACCUGUGCUCAGGAGGGGCUCCCGGGGAUGGUGAGCGCCAGUUACCGGUGAGCUGAAGAUCUCCUUCUCGUUGAAGAUGAGGUGCAGCUCCGCGGCCGGAGACAGCUUCUCUACCUCCAGCCACAGCCGCACCUCCCCUCGCUCCAGGAUGUCAAUGUUCCAGCCGGAGAUCAGUUUGAUUACUGGAAAGCACAGGAUGGGGAGGGUAUAGAUGGGCCCCCUCCUUUCCUCCCUACCCAGUUGCACCCAGUUGACACAGGAGCUGCUUGGAGGGCCUAAGGCUGGGGGCUGAGGAGGGUUUUUUUUUUUUUUUUUGUCUUUUUCCUUUUUAUCGGUACCAGGGAUCGAACCCAUGACUGCAUGCUUGCAAGGCAGGCGCUUAUGCCGCUGAGCUAAAUCCCCAGCCCCGAGGAGGGCUUUUUGUAUGCGGGCUCUGGACUGAACCGAUCUCAGGGAAGCAUUUCCCCUUCAAGGGUUCUGAGGCUGUGGUUCUCAAGCUGGCCCAGCACUGGAUCUCUGAGGACUUUGAAGAACACUUGUGCCCAGCAUGGUGGCACAGGCAUGUAAUUUUAGCACUCAGGAGGAUUAUAAUUCUAGCACUAGCAGAAGGAUUACAAUAAGUUUGAGGCCAGCUUGGGCAAAAUAGCAAAUUCAAGGCCGGUCUG